GUGGCUGAGUGGUUAAGGCGGUGGACUGCUAAUUCAUUGUGUCGCCCGCGUGGGUCUUUUGAAUCCCAUACU